AUGAUUACUCUGUCUUGGGUAGCUCUAGCUUUAACCUGUUUUGAUCCUGUGAUUUUUCUAGUUCCGAUUCGCUUACCAGUGCCUAUGAAGUUCUGCUUGAUUUCUGUCGCCAGAGGAAACCCUGAUUAUCCUUCCCUGCUCUGCUCCAGGUUUCUCUCCACACUCCACCACCUCCAUAACCAACUUGGACUCCUGCACACCAGAUCACGCUGUCUCCUCCCCUGGCCGCUCACUCUCAGCCACUCACCUGCCUUCACCAAACCGCUGCUCCUACCUCCUCUCUGGACCAACAGUCCCAUCACCUUCUGGAGCUUUCCUGCUCACCUGGACCUGACCAAUCCCUCCGGAAGAUCUCACCACCCACUGCAAUCAAGUUCCAUCCUGAAAACUUGCUGCCAGCCUGCCCGUCGUCUGUUCCCGUUCCUAUCAUUGCUCCUCAGUAUAUAAUAAAGUUGUUUUACUUACUUACCGGUUCCUGUGUGGUGAUUCUGCAUGUCGUGGGUCAAAAGACUGCCGCCCGCCAUAACAAUUUUCAAAAUGGCAUGAGCUAAGAUUGUUACUGCUGCAAAGAACAACAAUAUUAUUAUUAUUAUUAUUAUUAUUAUUAUUAUUAUUAUAGUAAAUGGCCUGUAUUAGUACAGCUCCUUCUUAGGGUACUACAACCCCCUAAGGCAGCGGUUCCCAAACUUAUUUAGCCGCGCACCCCCUUCUAUGUCCCGACCAUGUCGACUCACCCCGCCCCCACAUCAGGGCAUGGCUAUAUAUAUAUAUAUAUAUAUAUAUAUCAGAUGUCAAGCUACACAGACAGGGUUAAAAAAUAUGAUCGACCUUUUUCCCCAUCACUUUCAUUUUUUAAAUAGUAAUUAAUAAACAUUCGAUACCAUUACAAUUUCCUUUGAUUUCAUUUUGAAUAAAUAUUUAGAGUGCACAGGUAGCACAUAAACAAUGCAAUUUAAUGGUUUUCUUAAAGUAGGAACGUUUAACCUGUGCGGCCAGAGCGCUCUCCUUCCUUCUGCUCUGCGUAAACCUGAGCUGAUCACCUACUUGUGACUUGUGCGUAAUCAAAUGUCUGUACGGGAAAAGAUGGAAAUGCCAUGAGGUUCACUUUUGCCUCAGACCGACUUAUUGCUGUUUUAUGGUGUGGCUGAAUCUGCGAUCCGCUGCCACACGGACUAACAAAUGCUGCAGUAAGGAGUAGUGGGUCAGGUUCAUGAGGAGUCACUGGCUGUAGCGGACCCGACUUUAAUACGUCAUCCCAAAAUAGAAGCUAAUAUCUUAAUUUGACCUUGAAUGAAAAAUAACCUCUUAAAAGUUUUUAUCACGGUGGAGGCAGCGUUCAUUUCUGCCUUCAGUCUGACGGCGCGCCGGAGUUAAAGCAGCGUGUGCGCUUAUUGAAUCUGUGUG
rnacentral:lncRNA from 1 species